GACUUCCUUCUGCCUCAUUGAUGCGAAACUGAUAAUAAACAUGCAAGAGAAUACAGCUAUAGUUACUCUGGACUGCCAUGAUAGAAACAUUGAAACAGAUAUUGACUGGCUUUAGGUAUGUGAGACGUUUUUAUUGGUGUUGCAAACGAUGUAACGAUCACUAAAUUCUGUGCCUAUGUGAGAUUUGUUGGUUCAUCGAAUAACAUCAAAGUUACAGUUGUUACUCUACGUUUCCCUCAUUAAUUACUCUUCCACUCAAACUUCUCUGGGAUUGGUGGAAAAAGAAGAGAAAACUUCGACUGAAAUACGAUAAGGAAGGUAAACGGUCAAGCAAAGUGUGCAAGGUCGUUGAUGGAGUAUUCUAUGUGAAAUCCUCUCACCGGUCUGAGCCCCACCAACUGAACAUCAGAGGACCAACUUGCACCUGCAGACAUAUUUUUCAAGCUAUUGAUGAUGGUUUAAUGAAAUGCAAUGGGAGGACCUACCUGAAGAUUACAGAAACAUACUGUUCUUCGUAAAAGAUAAAGGAAGUGAUAUUGGGAUAUGGCCAGCUGAUGCAGAUGUAAACAAAUGCUGCGAUUAUCCAGCAUCAGAAGACGAGGAUGAAGAAGUAGAAGAUGAUGAGGUUGGAGGAAAUGGGGAUAAAAGAAAGAAGAAACGGGACAUAGACUAUAAAGGAGAUUGGCGGGAGCUUUCAAACAGAAUAACUUCCUUCGUUAAUGAUCCUGAGUUUGACGUGAUGGACGAUGAUGUCCGUGCAUUAUUAUAUAAGAAACUGUCAGAUACCGUCAAUGAUGUGGCAUCCUAUAUUUACAAAAGAAACUAAAUUAGAUAACAUAGAUAAGAUAAUGUUUGAUAAUAUAUUACUUUAAAAGCCGUGCAAUCAUUUUAGAUAUUAGAUAUUAAACUAACCAUAUUAUGAUAUUCUCCGUCUAACUAUUCGAUCUGUCUCCAUCUCACUAUUCAAUCGGUCUCAACGUUCAUUCUCUGUUUAACUAUUCAAUCUCUGUCUCAGUGUUCAUUUUCUUGUUUAACUAUUCAAUCUUUGUCUCAGCGUUCAUUCUCUGUCUCGACAUUUAUUCUCCGUCUGACUAUUUAAUCUGUCUCAAUGUUCAUUCUCUGUCUCGACGUUCAUUCUCCGUCUCACUAUUCAAUCUGUCUCAAUGUUCAUUCUCUGUCUCGACGUUCAUUCUCCGUCUCACUAUUCAAUCUGUCUCAAUGUUCAUUCUCUGUCUCGACGUUCAUUCUCCGUCUCACUAUUCAAUCUGUCUCGACGUUCAUUAUUUGUUUAACUAUUCAAUCUCUUUCUCAGUGAUCAUUCUUUGUUUAACUAUUAAAUCACUGUUCAUUCCUGUCUCGACGUUAAUUCUCCGUCUCAUUAUUCAAUCUCUGCAUCAGUGUUCAUUCUCUAUUUUAGAGUCAAUUCCCUGUCUUACCUAUCAAUCUUUCUCGGUGUUCAUUCCCUGUCUGACUGUUCAAUUUCUGUCUCACUGUCCAUUCUCUGUCUCGCUGUUCAAUCUUCGUGUUUCUUUCAAAGUGUUACAGUGACAAGGAGACCGAAUGAUAUUGUUGUAAAAUAAAAAGCUUGUCCGCUUUAGUUAUAGUGAUAUUAAAACAUAUACAACACCAUGUAUUAUGAAAUUUUAGAUUUUGUUACAAAAUA